CUACCUUAGCAUUCAGUGCGAAGCUGUCGAAGUUAAAACACGAACAUGUUGAACAUUAAAGGUGUUGUGUUCCUGAUGGUAAUGCUUGCAACAGCCACUUCGUUCAUGUUGACCAACAGAGCGGAACAGCUAGAGAAACGCAACUGCCUGAGAUAUUUGGAUAGUUGUGCUCAUACCAAAUUAAAAUGUUGCCAGGGAUAUACAUGCAGUCUCGUCUUUCGGAAUAUGGCCUGGUGUGGUUGAUAAAAGUGGCUGCCAAGUGUGGUUGCAGUUGUCUGAUUUUUUGCAUCAAACACAAGCGCGAGUAAUUUCUGUGUGUUGCAGUUUAUUUUAUUUCUUUCAUGAUUUAAGGAGAGAAAAAAAACGUUUUAGGCUUUUUAUUGGGCUUAAUAAAA